rnacentral:lncRNA from 1 species
CCUGCUGGAAGCAUAAGGGGAAUUUCCUGAGGAUCCAGUGGUCCCCUGAAAGGAAACUUCUAGACACAUGGGGCACUUGGGAGACCCGGCAGCCUGGAGUUCUUCUCGCAUGCUGGUACCCCACCCUGGCACUGUGCUGAUCCGUCCACCACCGUGUUAAUCAAACUUGACAUGUUUGCCCCGAAGAAAAUAAAACUUCCCUUUGAGGAUGUGGCAGAGAGACACAGCCAGGAAAUUUUAUCAUCAGAAAAAACAAAAUCCAGAAGGGACUGAAGAAUCUGACUUCUCCUUCAUGCCAGGCAUCUGCAAUUUUGACAGUUUGCUGAUGAAAGAAAAAAAUAUCUAAACGAAAUGUCCUCUGAGCAGGGAAAUCACCUGCCUGCAGAGCGGGUGUUGGGAAGAGAGCGAACUUGUUCCUUGACAUUUCGCUUCCCCACCGAUGUUGGUUUCCUUCCUCACCUCCUCUUUUGGGGCAUCUGUGUCUCCUCCCACCCCUCCUCCUCCCUGCCGGUUGUUUCUAGUUCCCCAGCCUCAUCUGCUCACCUCGGGCCCAUCCCACUCCCUCUCCUCUUCCACCACCUGAGAUGGUCCCUCACUUUCCCUUCACGUGUUCUCUGUGGUCCCUGCUGUCAGCUGAGAGCAUGAGGAGCUCGCUGCCCACUGAUUCUGGUCAGUACCCACCCAUGCUACUAAGGGCUAUCAUAGCCAGACUCAAGCGUGGUGGGACGCAGAGGAUCUAACAAUCUCUCGUGCAAUGUCUCUCUCCCCUCCAACUAUGUUUUCCUCCAUAUAGGUUCUAUUCUCAAGCAUGUGCUUCUCAUGCAAUGCCACUCAGGAGCUCCCAGUUUAUAUUCCUGUAUCCUCACCUCCCCAGUAGGGAGAGUACAUCACUUUGCCGAAUUUCUCUUGACAUCUUCUGUGCCUACCUUUCAUUGGCUGGGCUGGGAUCACAUGCCCUUCCAUGAGCCAAUUACUAGAGCUAGGAAGAUGAGAAGGAUGAAGAUCCCUUAUAGGCUAAGCCUGGUCAUGUGUCUUCUCUGGGAGCAGGACCCUGUGGAUGGAGAGGCACGUUUCCAUAGGAGAGAAGCUUCCUCUGUCAUGUGCUCACAGCUUCCAGAGCAAUGGGCUGGAGGGCUCAGUAGGAGGGGACAGAUGACCUCACAUCGAGAGGCUUGA